GCCUACGGGAGGCAGCAGUGAGGAAUAUUGGUCAAUGGCCGAGAGGCUGAACCAGCCAAGUCGCGUGAGGGAUGACGGCCCUACGGGUUGUAAACCUCUUUUGUCGGGGAGCAAAGAGAGUCACGUGUGGCUCAUUGAGAGUACCCGAAGAAAAAGCAUCGGCUAACUCCGUGCCAGCAGCCGCGGUAAUACGGAGGAUGCGAGCGUUAUCCGGAUUUAUUGGGUUUAAAGGGUGCGUAGGCGGUCCGUUAAGUCAGCGGUAAAAUUGCGGGGCUCAACCCCGGCGAGCCGUUGAA
rnacentral:rRNA from 1 species